rnacentral:rRNA from 1 species
UACAGAGGGUGCAAGCGUUGUUCGGAAUUAUUGGGCGUAAAGAGCUCGUAGGCGGUUUGUCGCGUCUGCCGUGAAAGUCCGGGGCUCAACUCCGGAUCUGCGGUGGGUACGGGCAGACUAGAGUGAUGUAGGGGAGACUGGAAUUCCUGGUGUAGCGGUGAAAUGCGCAGAUAUCAGGAGGAACACCGAUGGCGAAGGCAGGUCUCUGGGCAUUAACUGACGCUGAGGUGCGAAAGCGUGGGGAGCAAACAGG